rnacentral:rRNA from 1 species
UACGUAGGGUGCAAGCGUUGUCCGGAAUUAUUGGGCGUAAAGAGCUCGUAGGCGGUUCGUCGCGUCGGCUGUGAAAACCCGGAGCUCAACUCCGGGCCUGCAGUCGAUACGGGCGGACUUGAGUGUUGCAGGGGAGACUGGAAUUCCUGGUGUAGCGGUGAAAUGCGUAGAUAUCAGGAGGAACACCGAUUGCGAAGGCAGCUCGCUGGGACGUAACUGACGCUGAGACGCGAAAGCGUGGGGAGCAAACAGG